rnacentral:rRNA from 1 species
AUGGGGCAUGGCCAACCAACAUUGGGGUGCGGGGACGUUAGACACAUCUUGUUCCAGCGUAUUCAUGCGAAUGAUCUGUGGAACCGACUGGGGAUGAUGGAUAUAAUCGACACGGCUGCUACGGUCAAUCAUUCUGGCUCUGUUAUAAUGGAACAUCUUUUACUUCAACCUGUAUCUCCGAAAUGUAUGAAUAUAUGGAUGAAACCAGACCCGAGAUUCGUUAAAUUAAAUGUUGAUGCAGCAGUGUUCAUUGAUGAAGGAAGAGGGUCAACGGCAACUAUAUUGAGAGAUAGAAGAGGUACAUUCUUGGCAGCUCAAUGCAAGUCUAUUCAGUUUGCUCCAGAUGUGUAG